GCUUUGAAGACGCCACGAUGAAGUACUACCUUCCAGGAACA
rnacentral:tRNA from 1 species